AAACCCUAGUGAAACUUCAUCUUCAAUAAUCGACAGCCAAGAAACAUCACAGAAAGCUCUCUAUCAUCUUCAAUCAUCGACUUUUCUUCGUGUUUUUCAUUUCUUUCUCUCUCUUUUAUCAUCAGUUUUAUAUUUUAGGGUUUUCAUCGUCUGUUAAUUUGGUUUAGGAUUUUGAUUUCAUAGAUCUAUACAAGUCUUUCAUCAUCUGUAGGGUUUUAAUUUUUUCUAUUUGCCAUGUAUGCUGAUUUGAAGAUGAUUUGGUAUCAUUGAAGGAAGAGGAAGAUAACUCAUUGACCCAAUUAGGUUUUUUACACCAUACAAAUCGAGACAAAAAGGCUUCAAUAAAAAUCAUGGAUCGUCAAAAUGGGAGCUGUAGCAGCUUCAGGGGGAGGUGGUUCUGUAGGGGGUUGAGUAGAUUCUGUAGCAGAGUCUAUGAAGAUGAAUCUGACGAAUUAAAAUCAGAAAAGUGAAAGAUUAAGAAGAUGAGAUUAGUGGAGAGGUUGUUUGAUUUUACAAGAAGAAGAUGAACAUGAGCAUAAGGAAAAGCAGCUUUAGUCCCCUUUUCAUCCAUGGUCUUGAUUAAGAUGCGUGAGAUUUCUGAGGGGUACCUUGGUUCUACAGUUAAGAACGAUGUUGUUACAGUCCCUGCCUACUUCAAUGAUUCUCAGCGUCAAGCUACAAAGGAUGCUGGAGUCAUUGCUGGUCUUAAUGUUAUGCGUAUCAUCAAUUAGCGUAUUGUUGCUGCCACUGCCUAUGGUCUUGACAAAAAGGCCACCAGUGUUGGAGAAAGGAAUGCUUUUAUCUUCGAUCUAGGAGGUGGUACCUUUGAUGUCACAUAUGUGAUAUUGGUGCAAUACUAGUUAUCUUCCAAUGGGGUUUUGAUGAAUCAGAACUUGCCUGUUGUUAGAUGGGUUGGUGGAGUAGAACUAGAGCUCAUUGCAAUAGCUACAGGUGGAAGGAUUAUGCCAAGGUUCCAUGAAAUGAAAAAUUGGGAAAGGUACUCAUUUUAGUACUACUCUAGUUUGUUCAAUGAAACAAUACUUAGUUUUUACUGCUUAGAUUUUUAUUUGACUUUAACGAAUUUAGGAUGGGUUAGUUAGAGAGAAAUCAUUUGGUACAACUAAAGAUCGAAUGCGCUACAUUGAGCAGUGUGUGAAUUCGAGGGCGGUCACUAUCUUCACUUGUGGUGGUAUAGGGAAUCCAUAUUUAUGGGUGAUACAGGGUCCCUGGCCCUAGGUGGGGCAUUAGCUGCAAUGGAAGCUUGUACAAAAAUGUCCUUUCCCUUGUUCAUUUCACCUGGAGUCUUCGUCAUUGAAGCUUCGUCCCUGAAUAUAAGACUUGUCAAAUCAACCAUUGUGCAUUUCCAGACUCCCCUGAUGAAGCUCUUCGGAUGUAUGAUGAUGCUUUCCCCAUCCUUGAAGAACAUGAAAAGGAGCAAAUCGCAUUUGAUCUAUAUCGUGUUGCUGCCAAUGUUUAUAUACAGCUUAAAAAAUUAGGUACUGCGUAGCUGCUUCUUUCUUGGAAGAAAGAGCUCCUGCAAGAGAAGAGUCCAUGGAUUGAAGAUGCGUAGCUGCUGUCUCUUUGGAUUCCAUUCUCUUCACUGAUUCUGCUUCAAAUGCAGCAGUCUGCGGCAUGAGAAGCCUGCUAUGUGAGUCAUGUUUCUGUGCAUGUUAGUCUGUUACAUGAGAAAACUUAGAAAUAGGUUAGGAACCUAGGAAGUUUUUUAAGUUUCUGUGAACUGCAUUUUGGAACUUAGUGAGUUUCUAUGUA